rnacentral:tRNA from 5 species
GGGCUGUUAGCUCAGUCGGUAGAGCAGUUGGCUUUUAACCAAUUGGUCGAAGGUUCGAAUCCUUCACAGCCCACCA